rnacentral:rRNA from 1 species
AACGAACGCUGGCGGCAGGCUUAACACAUGCAAGUCGAACGCCCCGCAAGGGGAGUGGCAGACGGGUGAGUAACGCGUGGGAAUCUACCGUGCCCUGCGGAAUAGCUCCGGGAAACUGGAAUUAAUACCGCAUACGCCCUACGGGGGAAAGAUUUAUCGGGGUAUGAUGAGCCCGCGUUGGAUUAGCUAGUUGGUGGGGUAAAGGCCUACCAAGGCGACGGUCCAUAGCUGGUCUGAGAGGAUGAUCAGCCACAUUGGGACUGAGACACGGCCCAAACUCCUACGGGAGGCAGCAGUGGGGAAUAUUGGACAAUGGGCGCAAGCCGGAUCCAGCCAUGCCGCGUGAGUGAUGAAGGCCUUAGGGUUGUAAAGCUCUUUCACCGAUGAAGAUAAUGACGGUAGUCGGAGAAGAAGCCCCGGCUAACUUCGUGCCAGCCGCCGCAGUAA